rnacentral:rRNA from 1 species
ACUCCUACGGGAGGCAGCAGUAGAGAAUCUUCCACAAUGGGCGCAAGCCUGAUGGAGCAACACCGCGUGAGUGAAGAAGGGUUUCGGCUCGUAAAGCUCUGUUGUUAAAGAAGAACACGUAUGAGAGUAACUGUUCAUACGUUGACGGUAUUUAACCAGAAAGUCACGGCUAACUACGUGCCAGCAGCCGCGGUAAUACGUAGGUGGCAAGCGUUAUCCGGAUUUAUUGGGCGUAAAGAGAGUGCAGGCGGUUUUCUAAGUCUGAUGUGAAAGCCUUCGGCUUAACCGGAGAAGUGCAUCGGAAACUGGAUAACUUGAGUGCAGAAGAGGUAGUGGAACUCCAUGUGUAGCGGUGGAAUGCGUAGAUAUAUGGAAGAACACCAGUGGCGAAGGCGGCUACCUGGUCUGCAACUGACGCUGAGACUCGAAAGCAUGGGUAGCGAACAGGAUUAGAUACCCCUGGUAGGAUAGCG